GCACUGCCAUCCAUCACAGGCCAUGUUCACAGUCCUGAUUUGCUGGAGCCAGUGCCCAAGAAACCACGCUUUGAGGCAAUGAAGAGUCCCUUCUCUGAUAUUUCGGAGGCAUCAUCUGUUGGUGGUUCAUGUUUACCACAUUCUGCCCAGAUCUCCGAGGAGCUUCAGCAGACUUUUGAUACCUCUUCCCAGGUGCCCAAUCAGGAGGAGGUGAAGCAGCAGCAGCUGCAACAACAACAGCAGCAGCUGCAACAGCAACAGCAGCAGCUGCAACAGCAACAGCAGCAGGAGGAGCAGCAACAACAGCAGCAGCAGCAACCGCAACAAGCGGAAGCAACAUCAGCAGCACCCCGGCCCAGCCACAACAGUAUAAUACCACCGGGGAGAACCAAGUAAUGCAUGUAUUCAUGCCAAACCAACCUAGCUUCUCUAUGUUGCGCUACAACGAAGGCUUCAUGCCCCCCCCCCCCCCCCCCCCCCCACCCCCCCCCCCCCCCCCCCCCCCCCCACCAUCACCCCCACCACCACCACCACCACCACCACCGCCACCCAUGUUUAUUCCUAUCCAAAUGGUGGCUGAACAGCAGCCUUCUGGCUAUUAUCGUGCUGGAAACCUCAAUGCCUCUGGCUACUAUCGUGCUGAAAGUGUCAAUGCCCCUGGAUAUUAUCGUGCUGAAAACCUCAGUGCCUCUGGCUACUAUCGUGCUGAAAGCCUCAAUGCCCCUGGAUACUACCGUGCUGAAAACUUCAAUGCCUCUGGGUACUAUCGUGCUGAAAAUUUCAAUGGCCCAGAAAAUGGUAGAUUCAGAUUUUUUCCUGAAAACCACCAUCAGCCCCGCAUGAAUCUUUUCUCUAUGACCCACGGCCCAGGGUCCCAUGCCAUUUAUUCUGCCAGCCUCCCUCAGACUACUACCAUAACCCACAACCCACAGCUUGUUACCCUGGAGACUCCACAGGACUACAUCCGCCUCUGGCAACGGCCGCAAGACACGCAGAGUCAUGUCUACCAAGCAGUCCAAAUGAGUAAUUGGGUUCCCAAUGAGCAGGCCACCGUGGGACAAGCCACUUGUACUCAGGUGGCACCCACUGAACAAGUCCAGCAUUCUUCAGGACUGCAGACUGUCCAAGCCUCUGGGAAUAAUGGGCAGAACCAGCUAAACUCCUGUAUGUCAUCACAGCAGUCCCACUUGAAUCCGUAG
rnacentral:lncRNA from 1 species